GAACGAACGCUGGCGGCAGGCCUACACAUGCAAGUCGAGCGAGGACUUCGGUCCUAGCGGCGGACGGGUGAGUAACGCGUGGGAACGUGCCCUUUGCUUCGGAAUAGCCCUGGGAAACUGGGAGUAAUACCGGAUGAGCCCUUUGGGGGAAAGAUUUAUCGGCGAAGGAUCGGCCCGCGUUGGAUUAGGUAGUUGGUGGGGUAAUGGCCUACCAAGCCGACGAUCCAUAGCUGGUUUGAGAGGAUGAUCAGCCACACUGGGACUGAGACACGGCCCAGACUCCUACGGGAGGCAGCAGUGGGGAAUCUUAGACAAUGGGGGAAACCCUGAUCUAGCCAUGCCGCGUGAGCGAUGAAGGCCUUAGGGUUGUAAAGCUCUUUCAGCUGGGAAGAUAAUGACGGUACCAGCAGAAGAAGCCCCGGCUAACUCCGUG
rnacentral:rRNA from 1 species